rnacentral:misc_RNA from 1 species
CCUCCGUUGGUGAACCAGCGGAGGGAUCAUUACAGAGUUGCAAAACUCCCAAACCAUUGUGAACGUUACCUAUCCCGUUGCUUCGGCGGGCGGCCCGGGCCCCGCGCCCGGCGCCCCCCGGCCCCCCGUGGGCGCCCGCCGGAGGUAAACCAAACCCUUGAAUUGCAUGGCCUCUCUGAGUCUUCCGUACUGAAUAAGUCAAAACUUUCAACAACGGAUCUCUUGGUUCUG